rnacentral:rRNA from 1 species
GAUGAACGCUAGCGGCAGGCUUAAUACAUGCAAGUCGAGGGGCAGCAGGGUGUAGCAAUACAUCGCUGGCGACCGGCAAACGGGUGCGGAACACGUACGCAACCUUCCUUCAAGUGGGGAAUAGCCCAGGGAAACUUGGAUUAAUACCUCGUAACAUUGUGAGAUGGCAUCAUUUUACAAUUAUAGUUCCGACGCUUGAAGAUGGGCGUGCGCCUGAUUAGGUAGNGGUCGGGUAACGGCCCACCAAGCCUUCGAUCAGUAACUGGCGUGAGAGCACGACCAGUCACACGGGCACUGAGACACCGGG